rnacentral:lncRNA from 1 species
AUUAUCUAUAACAUCAUUUAAUAUUUCCAAAUAUAGAAAAUCCUUGUUUAUGCAAGUACAUUAUUUUGUGAAACCUUAUAUUAGAUGAAAUAUAUAUAUGUUGGAGUACACUCACAAAGAUACAAACCAGAAAGACAUGACAAUCACAAAGACGUGACAAACAAGUUACAGAAAAGAAAAUAUGCACAUAAAUCAUUUGGAGAUGGCCACAUGAUAAAGCAAUCAUCUACCAUUUUGAAAGAUUUGGAUUCAAUUCUGAGUCUCAUACCUCAAGUUUUUCAGAAAGAGUCCAGAUUUGGGUCUGGCUCAUUAACAAAUCUCAUUAUUCAGCAC